GCAUGGGUAUAAAAUACCGAGCAUCGUUCACAGCAAAGAACAGAGCUUGUCUCAAAAGUUUAAGAAGGAAACCAAUUCAUUUUCGAAUAGAUUCGGUUCGAUUAACAAAAUGAAUUUCAAAAUAUUUACUUUGUUCGCCGUUGUGGUAUUGGCAUUAUUUUCAUCUGGAAGCUCAUCACCAUUUCCUGAAAAAGAUGAUGGAGUAACCCCGAAGUGCUGGGAUGUUGAUGUGAAUGUCAUAUGCAAAAGGCAAGGAUUUAUGGGAGGAAAGUGUUUUAAUGUGUAAAUGUGGCUGAGGUGGAUUUAAGUAGGAAUGAACUGUUAUAUCCAAUAAAUAAAUUCGCUUUUUAAAAGUGGUUUCAUUCAAAUUUAAA